rnacentral:rRNA from 1 species
GAUGAACGCCGGGCGGUGUGCCUAAUACAUGCAAGUCGUACGCACUGGCCCAACUGAUUGAUGGUGCUUGCACCGGAUUGACGUUGGAUCACCAGUGAGUGGCGGACGGGUGAGUAACACGUAGGUAACCUGCCCCGGAGCGGGGGAUAACAUUUGGAAACAGAUGCUAAUACCGCAUAACAACAAAAGCCACAUGGCUUUUGUUUGAAAGAUGGCUUUGGCUAUCACUCUGGGAUGGACCUGCGGUGCAUUAGCUAGUUGGUAAGGUAACGGCUUACCAAGGCGAUGAUGCAUAGCCGAGUUGAGAGACUGAUCGGCCACAAUGGAACUGAGACACGGUCCAUACUCCUACGGGAGGCAGCAGUAGGGAAUCUUCCACAAUGGGCGCAAGCCUGAUGGAGCAACACCGCGUGAGUGAAGAAGGGUUUCGGCUCGUAAAGCUCUGUUGUUGGAGAAGAACGUGCGUGAGAGUAACUGUUCACGCAGUGACGGUAUCCAACCAGAAAGUCACGGCUAACUACGUGCCAGCAGCCGCGGUAAUACGUAGGUGGCAAGCGUUAUCCGGAUUUAUUGGGCGUAAAGCGAGCGCAGGCGGUUGCUUAGGUCUGAUGUGAAAGCCUUCGGCUUAACCGAAGAAGUGCAUCGGAAACCGGGCGACUUGAGUGCAGAAGAGGACAGUGGAACUCCAUGUGUAGCGGUGGAAUGCGUAGAUAUAUGGAAGAACACCAGUGGCGAAGGCGGCUGUCUGGUCUGCAACUGACGCUGAGGCUCGAAAGCAUGGGUAGCGAACAGGAUUAGAUACCCUGGUAGUCCAUGCCGUAAACGAUGAGUGCUAGGUGUUGGAGGGUUUCCGCCCUUCAGUGCCGGAGCUAACGCAUUAAGCACUCCGCCUGGGGAGUACGACCGCAAGGUUGAAACUCAAAGGAACUGACGGGGGCCCGCACAAGCGGUGGAGCAUGUGGUUUAAUUCGAAGCUACGCGAAGAACCUUACCAGGUCUUGACAUCUUGCGCUAACCUUAGAGAUAAGGCGUUCCCUUCGGGGACGCAAUGACAGGUGGUGCAUGGUCGUCGUCAGCUCGUGUCGUGAGAUGUUGGGUUAAGUCCCGCAACGAGCGCAACCCUUGUUACUAGUUGCCAGCAUUAAGUUGGGCACUCUAGUGAGAUUGCCGGUGACAAACCGGAGGAAGGUGGGGACGACGUCAGAUCAUCAUGCCCCUUAUGACCUGGGCUACACACGUGCUACAAUGGACGGUACAACGAGUCGCAAGCUCGCGAGAGUAAGCUAAUCUCUUAAAGCCGUUCUCAGUUCGGACUGUAGGCUGCAACUCGCCUACACGAAGUCGGAAUCGCUAGUAAUCGCGGAUCAGCAUGCCGCGGUGAAUACGUUCCCAGGCCUUGUACACACCGCCCGUCACACCAUGGGAGUUUGUAACGCCCAAAGUCGGUGGCCUAACCUUUAUGGAGGGAGCCGCCUAAGGCGGGACAGAUGACUGGGGUGAAG